AUGGCUAGUGCGGAGGAUGUGAAGCAGCGGCAGGUUGUUGAAGACCGUGCAAGAAAUAUUAGCCACAAUGUACGGUGCACUGAGUGUGGCAGCCAGUCCAUUGAAGAUUCGCAAGCAGAUGUUGCAGUUCUCCUUAGAAGGUUAAUUCGUGAUGAAAUAAAAUCUGGAAAGAGUGAUAAGGAGAUAUACAAAAAACUAGAAGAAGACUUUGGAGAAACAGUUCUAUAUGCCCCUAAAUUUGAUCUUCAAACUGCUGCCAUAUGGUUAUCACCGGUGAUUGUGAUUUCUCGGGUAGGCAGUCGAGAGCCUGAUACAUUAAAUCCUGUGCAGGUGAUUGUGGGCGGCGUAGCAGCUGGUGUGUGGGCUUACCAAAAGCACAGGCAAAGGACCAACGUUCACAUCAUGGCUCUGAACCUCGUCCGAGGGGUUCCCCUGACUCCAAGGGAGAAGGAGACGAUGAUCGACAUCCUCACGCCGCCCCUGCCGGCAAGGAGGUGGUGGUGGCCUAUCAAAUGA
rnacentral:rRNA from 1 species